GGUGGCGGGCGGGCCGUUACCUCCCGCGCAUGCUCUAUGGGGUAGAGACGCUAGGCCGGCACUGCCUAGGUGGGCCGGGCGGUGCGAGGGUCGCCUUUCAGCCUUUACCUCUACCCACUGAAAUGGAGUAGGUCGGUGAGCGCCGAUCUGCUGGAGAAUCUCAUUAUCCCAUCGGCGCUCUGCCUGCUCCUGGCCUCCAAGCCUCUGAAGCCCCUCGGGUUUCAGCUGCCGGCUACCCUCGAGCCCGUGGUGCCCACGAGAGAGGCGACUUUACGUCAGCGGCCCUGGGCUGAGAUUUGAGAACGCGACCAAGUGGAGAAUGUUGGAGCCAGAUUUUAAAAUCCUUGUCUUCCUUCUGCGUGCUACUUGAUCUAAAUGAGAUACGGCAAAGUCACAGAACCUGUUUUUAUGUUUUUGCCUGAUUCAUACGGGCUUCUCCGGUGAAGAUGGGCCUGAAGUAACGCUUGGGUUGCUUCUGACGUUAUAACUCAUCCUGUAGCUGCAGCAACCGUGGUCCUUGCAACCUCAUAAAAAUGUUGCCAGCAUUGUUUCGAUAGUGCUGCUUAAUUCUUGGAAGGUUCUUCGGACUUCACACAUUCCAGCAGUAGCUCUCUCAGCUCCUGUCCUGCACAGCUUUGAAGUGCUGGUGAUGUCAUUGAACUCUUAAGUGCAAGAUGAAACAAGUCUUUCUGGGGUUCUAAGUAGGACACAGGACUGGGCUGUGGCCCUUGGCGAGCCUCCCAAGCUAUUCAGUGAUGUUAGACAACCCACUUACCUUCUCUGAAAUUUACUUUUCUUAUAUGUAAAAUGCAGCUAUUGUACAGUUAACCAACAGGACACAGCCCUGGUGAUGGCUUUCUGAGGAUGACACGAUGGAGGCUUCUCCAAUAGCUCUAAAACUGCGGUGUGGAAAACAUUCGGCAGCCUCAAAGAGCGGUCUUGUUGACCCCAACUAUAUCAUUUUUCAUCAAAAUCAUUCUUGAAUGACCAGGCAACACUCUUUGAAAAUUGGAGGCCAUUUGCAGCUGCUCUCUGUUGAGGAAAGUGAAUAAUAGGGUGCCCUCAAGGAAUUGCAAAGGUAUCACUCAACAGAAACUUUCGUGUCUGAAGAAAACUAGAUCAUUUUAUCAUGGUAGGCAUGCUGAUAUGUUUGCUUUAAUAAAAUGCCAUAUUUCUGCCUUUAA
ensembl:lncRNA HULC hepatocellular carcinoma up-regulated long non-coding RNA